rnacentral:rRNA from 1 species
UACGUAGGUGGCAAGCGUUGUCCGGAUUUACUGGGCGUAAAGAGCGCGCAGGCGGUCGUUCAAGUCGAGUGUGAAAGCCCCCGGCUCAACUGGGGAGGUCACUCGAUACUGAUCGACUCGAAGGCAGAAGAGGGAAGCGGAAUUCCCGGUGUAGUGGUGAAAUGCGUAGAUAUCGGGAGGAACACCAGUGGCGAAGGCGGCUUCUGGUCUGCUCUUGACGCUGAGGCGCGAAAGCUAGGGUAGCAAACGGG